rnacentral:rRNA from 1 species
CAUGUAGGUGGCCUACUAAGUCGAUCGUGAAAUCCCUUGGCUCAACCAAGGAACUGCGAUCGAAACUGAUGGGCUUGAGUACAGAAGAGGAAAGUGGAAUUCCCGGUGUAAGGGUGAAAUCUGUAGAGAUCGGGAGGAACACCAGUGGCGAAGGCGGCUUUCUGGUCUGUAACUGACGCUGAAAUGCGAAAGCUAGGGGAGCAAACAGGAUUAGAUACCCUGGUAGUCC